AGAGUUUGAUCCUGGCUCAGGAUGAACGCUAGCGGCAGGCCUAACACAUGCAAGUCGAGGGAGAAGCCUUCGGGCUGAAACCGGCGCACGGGUGCGUAACGCGUAUACAAUCUGCCUUUCACAUAGGGAUAGCCCGAAGAAAUUUGGAUUAAUACCUAAUGGUAUAUAGGAGCGGCAUCGUUUUUAUAUUAAAGCUACGGUGGUGAAAGAUGAGUAUGCGUUCUAUUAGCUAGUUGGAGAGGUAACGGCUCCCCAAGGCGACGAUAGAUAGGGGUUCUGAGAGGGAUGUCCCCCACACUGGUACUGAGAUACGGACCAGACUCCUACGGGAGGCAGCAGUGAGGAAUAUUGGACAAUGGUCGGAAGACUGAUCCAGCCAUGCCGCGUGCAGGAAGACGGUCCUAUGGAUUGUAAACUGCUUUUGUAAGGGAAGAAUAAGGAGUACGUGUACUUUGAUGACGGUACCUUACGAAUAAGCAUCGGCUAACUCCGUGCCAGCAGCCGCGGUAAUACGGAGGAUGCGAGCGUUAUCCGGAAUCAUUGGGUUUAAAGGGUCUGUAGGCGGGCCUAUAAGUCAGAGGUGAAAGCGCUUAGCUCAACUAAGCAACUGCCUUUGAAACUGUAGGUCUUGAAUGGUUGUGAAGUAGUUGGAAUGUGUAGUGUAGCGGUGAAAUGCUUAGAUAUUACACAGAACACCGAUAGCGAAGGCAUAUUACUAACAAUUAAUUGACGCUGAUGGACGAAAGCGUGGGGAGCGAACAGGAUUAGAUACCCUGGUAGUCCACGCU
rnacentral:rRNA from 1 species